GAUGAACGCUGGCGGCGUGCCUAAUACAUGCAAGUCGAGCGAACAGACGAGGAGCUUGCUCCUCUGACGUUAGCGGCGGACGGGUGAGUAACACGUGGAUAACCUACCUAUAAGACUGGGAACACUUCGGGAAACCGGAUCUAAUACCGGAUAAUAUAUGGAACCGCAUGGACCAAUAGUGAAAGACGGUUUUGCUGUCACAUAUAGAUGGAUCCGCGCCGCAUUAGCUAGUUGGUAAGGUAACGGCUUACCACGGCCACGAUGCGUAGCCGACCUGAGAGGGUGAUCGGCCACACUGUAUCUGAGACACGGUCCAGACUCCUACGGGGGGCAGCAGUAGGGAAUCUUCCGCAAUGGGCGAAAGCCUGACGGAGCAACGCCGCGUGAGUGAUGAAGGUCUUCGGAUCGUAAAACUCUGUUAUUAGGGGGGAACAAAUGUGUAAUUAACUAUGCACGUCUUGACGGUACCUAAUCAGAAAGCCACGGCUAACUACGUG
rnacentral:rRNA from 1 species